GUUAAUGUAGCUUAAAAUUAAAGCAAGGCACUGAAAAUGCCUAGAUGAGUGUAUUAAUUCCAUAAACA
rnacentral:tRNA from 1 species